rnacentral:rRNA from 23 species
AAUCAAGUGCCUUAAGGGUGUUCGGUGGAUGCCUUGGCGCUGAGAGGCGAUGAAGGACGUGCUACGCUGCGAUAAGCCGUGGGGAGCUGCGAAGAAGCUUUGAUCCAUGGAUUUCCGAAUGGGGAAACCCACCUUCGAUAGCCGGAACUCCAAGACCUCAGUCGAAAGACUGUGGUGUGGGGUUCGAACAGAAAUGUGAGAUGCCUAGGCCUUUAGAUUUCGAUCGAAGAGGUUUUGGAUUUCCGGUUAUCAAAAGAAGGUAUGAGACUUCUGAAUACAUAGGAGGUUUCAAGCAAACCCAGGGAACUGAAACAUCUAAGUACCUGGAGGAAAGGACAUCAACAGAGACUCCGUUAGUAGUGGCGAGCGAACGCGGACUAGGCC